GGGGAAUUUUCGCAAUGGGCGAAAGCCUGACGGAGCAAUACCGCGUGAGGGAGGAAGGCUCUUGGGUUGUAAACCUCUUUUCUUAGGGAAGAAGUUCUGACGGUACCUAAGGAAUAAGCAUCGGCUAACUCCGUGCCAGCAGCCGCGGUAAUACGGAGGAUGCAAGCGUUAUCCGGAAUGAUUGGGCGUAAAGGGUCCGCAGGUGGUUUUGUAAGUCUAUUGUUAAAGCGUUUGGCUCAACCAAAUAUAGGCGGUGGAAACUACAAGACUAGAGUCCGUUCGGGGCAGAGGGAAUUCCUGGUGUAGCGGUGAAAUGCGUAGAGAUCAGGAAGAACACCGGUGGCGAAAGCGCUCUGCUAGGCCGGAACUGACACUGAGGGACGAAAGCUAGGGGAGCGAAUGGGAUUAGAUACCCC
rnacentral:rRNA from 1 species